GAGUUUGAUCAUGGCUCAGAUUGAACGCUGGCGGCAUGCCUUACACAUGCAAGUCGAACGGCAGCAUGAUCUAGCUUGCUAGAUUGAUGGCGAGUGGCGAACGGGUGAGUAAUACAUCGGAACGUGCCCUGUAGUGGGGGAUAACUAGUCGAAAGAUUAGCUAAUACCGCAUACGACCUGAGGGUGAAAGUGGGGGACCGCAAGGCCUCAUGCUAUAGGAGCGGCCGAUGUCUGAUUAGCUAGUUGGUGGGGUAAAGGCCCACCAAGGCGACGAUCAGUAGCUGGUCUGAGGGGACGAUCAGCCACACUGGGACUGAGACACGGCCCAGACUCCUACGGGAGGCAGCAGUGGGGAAUUUUGGACAAUGGGCGAAAGCCUGAUCCAGCAAUGCCGCGUGUGUGAAGAAGGCCU
rnacentral:rRNA from 1 species